rnacentral:rRNA from 1 species
GCACAGCAGGCGCGAAAACUCCGCAAUGCACGAAAGUGUGACGGGGUCAAUCCGAGUGCCAACUCAAAAAGUUGGCUUUUCACCGGUGUAAGCAGCCGGUGGAAUAAGGGGAGGGCAAGGCUGGUGCCAGCCGCCGCGGUAAAACCAGCUCCUCGAGUAGUCAAGACGUUUAUUGGGCCUAAAGCGUCCGUAGCCGGUCCAGUAAGUCUCUGGUCAAAUCUAACGGCUCAACCGUUAGACCGCUAGAGAUACUGCUGGACUCGGAGGCGGGAGAGGCCGAAGGUACUCUCAGGGUAGGGGUGAAAAUCCGAUAAUCCUGAGGGGACCACCAGUGGCGAAGGCGCUCGGCUGGAACGCGCUCGACGGUGAGGGACGAAAGCCAGGGGAGCGAACCGGAUUAGAUACCCG